rnacentral:rRNA from 1 species
AUUGAACGCUGGCGGCAGGCCUAACACAUGCAAGUCGAGCGGAUGAAGAGAGCUUGCUCUCUGAUUCAGCGGCGGACGGGUGAGUAAUGCCUAGGAAUCUGCCUGGUAGUGGGGGACAACGUUUCGAAAGGAACGCUAAUACCGCAUACGUCCUACGGGAGAAAGCAGGGGACCUUCGGGCCUUGCGCUAUCAGAUGAGCCUAGGUCGGAUUAGCUAGUAGGUGAGGUAAAGGCUCACCUAGGCUACGAUCCGUAACUGGUCUGAGAGGAUGAUCAGUCACACUGGAACUGUGACACGGUCCAGACUCCUACGGGAGGCAGCAGUGGGGAAUAUUGGACAAUGGGCGAAAGCCUGAUCCAGCCAUGCCGCGUGUGUGAAGAAGGUCUUCGGAUUGUAAAGCACUUUAAGUUGGGAGGAAGGGCAGUAAGUUAAUACCUUGCUGUUUUGACGUUACCAACAGAAUAAGCACCGGCUAACUUCGUGCCAGCAGCCGCCGCCGUAA